rnacentral:rRNA from 1 species
GGUAUGGGAUGAGCUUGCGUCCGAUUAGCUAGUUGGCGGGGCAACGGCCCACCAAGGCGACGAUCGGUAGCCGGCCUGAGAGGGUGAUCGGCCACAUUGGGACUGAGAUACGGCCAGACUCCUACGGGAGGCAGCAGUAGGGAAUAUUGCACAAUGGGGGAAACCCUGAUGCAGCAACGCCACGUGUGGGAAGAAGCAUUUCGGUGUGUAAACCACUGUCGUGAGGGAAUAAUACGCGUCUUCGGGCGCGGGAGAAUGUACCUUGAAAGGAAGCACCGGCAAACUUCGUGCCAGCAGCCGCGGUAAUACGAGGGGUGCAAGCGUUGUUCGGAAUCACUGGGCGUAAAGGGAGCGUAGGCGGAUGUUCAAGCGGAUUGUACAAUACCGGGGCCCAACCCCGGACCUGCAGUUCGAACUGGACAUCUUGGAUAGUUCAGGGGCAGGC